CCUACGGGAGGCAGCAGUGGGGAAUCUUCCGCAAUGGGCGAAAGCCUGACGGAGCAACGCCGCGUGAGUGACGAAGGCCUUCGGGUUGUAAAACUCUGUCUUCAGGGAAGAAGAAAGUGACGGUACCUGAGGAGGAGCCCCGGCUAACUACGUGCCAGCAGCCGCGGUAAAACGUAGGGGGCGAGCGUUGUCCGGAAUUACUGGGCGUAAAGGGCGCGCAGGCGGUCUGUUAAGUCAGAGGUGAAAACUCCCGGCUCAACCGGGGGACUGCCUUUGAAACUGGCGGACUUGAGGGCAGGAGAGGGGAGUGGAAUUCCCGGUGUAGCGGUGAAAUGCGUAGAUAUCAGGAGGAACACCGGUGGCGAAGGCGACUUCCUGGACCGAUACUGACGCUGAGGCGCGAAAGCGUGGGGAGCAAACAGGAUUAGAUCCCCCUGUAGU
rnacentral:rRNA from 1 species